GUUUUUUUUGUUUUUUGCAGAGUAAUCAACAAUUGUGUACAGACAAUAGAGAGUUGAUAAUAUUUAAGAGGUUCGGUGGGGCGGAACUUGGGCCGAGGUAAGGUCCUGAACCUGUGUCUGCAGGUCUUUUAUCUGGUUGCUAUGGGUGACUGUGGUGUGUUCCACUGUUGCUAUGUGGGCUUAGAGGUGAGAGGGGGGAAGACUUGUGUGGCCUUUUGUAGCCCUGAUCGUCCAUGCCUUGGAGGAGUGAAUCGCCCGAGUCAUAAGAGAAAUCGUCGAGUACCUCUGCCAUAUUGGACACGCUUGCCCUUGCGGCCUUUGCAGUAAGUCUCUGAUAUCGGCGGUAAACCUGGGGUGAUCCGG